rnacentral:lncRNA from 1 species
AGGACUGUCUACUUAAGAAGCUGAGAGUGAGUUAGGAACAUUGAUGAAGCCUCUAUUCUGUGAGGUGGAAGAGAGAGUCAACAGCCAUAUUUGCUGGAGUAGUGAACCAAAUUGCUUUGACUGGAACCAUUACUCAUGUGCACCUUUGAUGGCAGCAGCCAGGGAAUUUGAAGAUAGUCAUGCCUAUUAGAUGUUUAGAAGAUGC